rnacentral:rRNA from 1 species
CCUACGGGGUGCAGCAGUGAGGAAUAUUGGUCAAUGGACGGAAGUCUGAACCAGCCAUGCCGCGUGCAGGAAGACGGCUCUAUGAGUUGUAAACUGCUUUUGUACAAGGGUAAACCUGAAUACGUGUAUUCAGCUGAAAGUACUGUACGAAUAAGGAUCGGCUAACUCCGUGCCAGCAGCCGCGGUAAUACGGAGGAUCCAAGCGUUAUCCGGAUUUAUUGGGUUUAAAGGGUGCGUAGGCGGAUUGAUAAGUUAGAGGUGAAAUGUCCGAGCUUAACUCGGGAACUGCCUCUAAUACUGUUGAUCUAGAGAGUAGAUGCGGUAGGCGGAAUGUAUGGUGUAGCGGGGAAAUGCUUAGAGAUCAUACAGAACACCGAUUGCGAAGGCAGCUUACCAAUCUAUAUCUGACGUUGAGGCACGAAAGCGUGGGGAGCAAACAGGAUUAGAUACCCCAGUAGUC